CUCCCACAGAGAGCUGCUAGGCUUUGCCAUUUGCUCUCAUCCCCUGAAACCCCACCUUCCACAAUGAAACCACAAAAGUCCAAUUCUCCAAAAGGCCCCUGACCUGAGCAUGAGGCUACAAGUUCAAACCCCGGUACUGCCCCCACCCCCAAAAAAGUUAGUUCUGUGGCCAUAUCAUGGCCCCCCACCUCCCCAGCUCCCCAACGCUGACAAGGAAACACCUUGGUAUGUCCACAGCACUGAUGCUUAGCAUACCAGCCAGGAAACUUUAAAGUCUGAAAAUGUCACGAGACCUCAGGAGAAUCAUGUUGGAAGUCGAUCAAAGGGCCCAGAAAGGUUGAAGCACAUCCGAGGCACACUCAGACACUGCCCCCAGCCUAAGGACCUAUGCUUGAGCUGGAACAGACCACCAGUGCCCCACGCAGGAAAACACAGUGUAUUUUAUAUAGCAACAACUUAUGAAUGAACAGAGACCACCUACCUUCUCAAUUCAGAGGAAGAAAGCAGCAUGCCUGUGUGACACAGUGCAGCCUGGGAUAUAAAUAGCUUCUACAAAGGUUAGCAGAAUGCAGACAAGAAAUCUACAGUGGGUUACCAAGGGAAACCAGAGGCUCAGUGCCCCAUCUUACCUGUUGCAGAUCAUAUCUAGAAAGAGCCUCAAGACGCCUCUCACACUCCACUCCCUCAAGGAUGGAAUGUGGGGCCAAGGGAACCUGAGGCCUGGGGGGGGGGAGGGGAGGAGUGCCCAUUUCCUGUACCCUACCUCUGCACAAACUGAAGUAGGAAAAUUAUUUUUUUUUCCUGACUCACAUAUCUCUUUCCCAUCAGCACACUUGCCUGCCGUUUCCUCUCUGGGAAAAGUCUACCUGGGAAGGUGUGGUGAACAAGCCCUCCCUAAAGACAGGAGGCACGGGAUGUGUUGGCGGCACCUUUGCUUGCCCUACCUCCUCCCAUUAUGCUAGUUCCUGGGUGCUGUCCCUCCUGUCUGCUGCCUUCAGUGGCUGUUCCCUUUGUUGGAGGAAGUGCCUCCCUGGGUACCCAGAGAGCUCCAGGGGUGGUGAUGGUGGUAGUGGUGAUGGGGAACUAGCUACAGCUGCUGGGUUAUAGCAAGUGUGAAGCAAAUCCCAUUUGUCAUUGAAAGCUACCCCAGGGGACACUGGAGUAAGGAUAUUUAUAGCUCUCAUGUAUGCAACCCUGAACUCAGAUGCUUAAGUUGCCAGAUAUAGCAAUGGUGUACCUAAAGCAUACAUGUGAUCUUGGAUACAGAGACAUUGGCCAGAUCUACAACUUCGGGCAUCCCAAACUCACCCCACCACGUACCAUCCCUCCUGAGUGUCCAUACUCUGAGACCUGGAUAAACUGGAUUUCAGUGCUUCCCUCCUUGGAGCAUCAAGUUCUGCCUUCCUGCCAAGGAUUAAGAGAUCAGGCCUGGAGCCCGGAGCUGGAGUGCAGCCUGCCAAGCAGAUCCCUGCUGGCUCGUUUGGGCAGAGGGAAAGCUCCCCACUUCCUUUCAUUCCCAAGAGUAGCAGCAGUGGGGACAACCUCACCUUCUAAUCCCUUCCAGAGCAGGCAGAGGGCUAGUGCAGAGCCUAUACUGAAGGCCCAAAGCCAGGCACAAAAGGAGAAGUCCCCCCUCCCCCGGAGACCAGAGACAGGCAGAAAGCCAGACCUCCGUGCAACGCCCCCCAGGGUAGAGGAAGGUGCCUCUGUCAACUUCCACUCCAAGACACUUGGCAGUCAAAAUGCAAAGGUCAAGUAGACAGCAACCUGCUCAAGAAGGCCAAAGAUCAUCACCUAACCACCCUCCCCGGACUCGAAGAUUCCUAAUAUGUCAACUGGGCAAAUGAUGCUUGUGGCUUUGGACUUGACUGGGUCAUCAAGAAGACCAAGAGUAAAAAAGUGGACUAGAGAGAAAGUAAAUAACUCAGCUAGAACUGCACACAAGGUAGAGAUCUGAACUCAAGACGUUCUGGUCCCUAUAGACUUUCCUCUGUUGUCUAUCUGGCUGAAAAUCCUUGACAGGUAAGUAUGUGUAUGUAUGUCUAUGUAUUUAUUUACCACUAUUGGUAUCAUAAGAGGAAACAUAUCUAUUCAUAGAGAAAUGAAGUCUUAACAAUCAACACCGAAAUCUAUGUAAGAUGCACCAGCAAUCAUUCGAUACAGACUCUUACAUACAUUCACACCAGCAGCGGUGGACCCCUAAUUUAAAUGUUUUCUUUUGUGCACCCCAGAUGCUUAGCAUGAUACAACAGCCCUACUACAUUGUCUGAUAAUGGCUAAAUUUGCUUAUUACCAAUGGAAUGAAUUAUCGAUAACUUUAACCCCAAAUCAAAAGUAUCAGUGGGUGAAAACCCAGCAGCGUCUACCAUCAGGUGGCACGGAACCCUCCUCACCCCCACCCUGUCUACCACCACCAAGAGAAUGACUAGGAAACUUCAGGUACUUUAUGCACACUAACAUCUGGCCAAUGUAGGGGAGGAUAUCUGCACUUCCCAGGACCUCGAAUUGGGGUGAUGCGAGGGUCUUUAUCUCAGCAGCAAACUCUUGUGUGCUGCAUGACCUGGUAUGUACAUACAUGGGCAUAUGGUUAAUUGUAACUGGGUCUCUGCAUAAAGACUUCUGACAUUCACAUGUCAUGUUAAAAAAAAAAGUGCAUGGUUAAAACUCCAUCACUGCAACAAAGAAAUGAGGUAGUAUGAAAAGUUAAAAUUAGAACCCCCCCAACUCCCUAUCUUCAACUGUUGUUAACAUCUUCUCUAUCAACAGAACAAUUUAAAAGUUGGUGGUAUCUAAGUGAGUUCCACUCCUUGCCUUCCGUAAUUGAUGGGUGAGGGCAAUGAAAGAAUAGCCAAACUAGGCUAUUCCCAAAUCUGAGAAUCAAUCCUGGCUGCACUGGCCUGAACACCUUUGAUGACAGGGAAUGUCCUCUGGCCCUUUGAAUCGCCAGUACUUCUCAGAUGUUCCAAUAACAGUUUAGAAAUCAGGACCACUUCAAGCCCCCCACCCCCCAAAAAAACGCUCAACCCACAAGAUAUUUCUAGACGUCAAUAUAGAAUCUAAGAGGUACAAUUCCAAAAGGCAAAUCUAAACCAACAACACAUAUUUGGUAUAUAGUAUCUGUAGUGGUCUUUCUCUUCUUUUUCUUCUUUUUCUUUUCCUUUCUUUCUUCCUUCCUUCUUUCUUUCUUUCUUUCUUUCUUUCUUUCUUUCUUUCUUUCUUUCUUUCUUUCUUCUUAAGCCACCCCCACCCCGCUUGGAAAAUAAAGAAGAAACUGAAUGACUGAUCUUCCCCGAGAGCCACCGCAGCCCUUCAGUGGCUCACAUCUCCUCAGGGUCCUUAAGUCUGCACAACACAGAAACUUCUUCCCUAGACUUCUGGCCAAAUAGCAGAGCUGAAUUCUGCAAACUUCAUCACCUUAGCCCCAGAGGAAAGAAAGUGGGUCUGGCGAGUCGGUAGUGCUGGGUCAGGGAGAGAGAAAAAAACGCCUUAAUCCUUCAGGAGAACAGCCCGGCCCUUCUGGUUUGCAAACACUAGCCAGAGGCUGAAGGAAGAAGCCUUUCUUUCUUUUCUGCACAAUAAUCUCUCCAGAGAAAACACAGUCACCUGGCCCUCCAGGGGGAAGAAAGACUCAUGCUGAACUCUUAACCCUAGCCACUCUGCACCCCAGGGAGUGGCUGAGGGUUGUUGUUUCUUUCCUUUUUCCCUGUGGUUCUCUGGUAACACCACAAAUUACGUUUUCAGGGACUGGAGUCCCAGAGUGCAAUGAUGUUGUAAUAAACAUAACGAGAACCAAAUGCCUUCCCAUCAUGUUAGAUGAUGCCAUUUCCCACCAAUCAGGCUCCUCGGGCAGGCAGACCACUCACCAAUGAGGGACCAGACAGAGGCUGUGAGGGGGGAGACCUGGUCACCAGCAACUAAAAAUAAGAGCGCUUCACCAUUGGCCGCCGCCACUUUGCAACAGGAGUUGGGACCCACACACCAGGCAACGCACAUAACGACCCAUACAGUCAAAAACUUUAACAUCCCGGGGCUUCGCACUGGUCUGCAUUUUCUUUUUGGUUUGUUUCCUUAAUUUGCUGACUUAAGAAAAGACCUGAUCCCGAAGGAGCCCCUGGAAGACACACCCUCCCACCUAGACACCUCAGCUUCCGAAGGCCCUUCGAAGUCACACAUAAUUGGCGAAAGGUGGGGGUAAAGGAACCGGCCAGAGGCCAAGGCACUUACCUGUCCAGCUGUGUCAUAGAGUCCCAGCAGGUACUGCUUGCCCCCGACGGUGACGCUGACUGCAAGGACAGAAGUGGGGGUGGGGAGAGAAGCUCACAAUGACCUGAGGUCGAGCAAUUUCGUUACCCACGGACCCCCCCUUCCCCAAACACGGGGAGGCGUGUGGGUGAUCCCUGGGAAUGAACACCACCUUUUUAACGUUCAGCUCGCUGCCAAAGUGGCAUGAGAUCUAGGCGAAAUGUGCACCCCUGCUAUCCACCCCUUUUCUCCCAAGUCCCAUAGCCACGUCUACCCUAGUAUCCCCAGAUGUCUCCCCAACAGGGGCUUGGGGCAGUAAGGGAAGCAACC